rnacentral:lncRNA from 1 species
GCAAAUUUGAAUAUUUCUGCUCGAGGCCACAUUUUGACUCGAAGUUCAGAAUAGUACACAAUUAGUUAGUGCCACAAAACUUCGCUUUCGUAAACCUUUUUCGAAAUAAAAUUGGUAUGCCUUGCAGAGAGAAAGGUCAGUAUUAAAUUUAGCUAUUCUUUUAACGUUUUUGAGUUGUUCUUGUUAAGAUAUUGCUGUUUUUGAAACACGUUUGUAUAAAUAUUCAUUGUAUUAAUUUGAGUUGAAUUCGAUUGCCAUUCAAGCGCUUCGUUACGGCGCUUAGUCGCUUUAUUUCCUUGGCGUUUCUCCCUCAUUUUUAGCAGUAAUGUUCAUAAAUACCCCAGUUUUGAUUUAUGUAACUCAUAUUUAGUUUAUAUGCGAUUUCAGGGCGAAAAUUUGAAGAGAAAGUGAACUAAUUUAAGUCGCCGACGUGGUCGAAAGGCGAAGUACUUGGUAAGUAUAAUGUCCACACUUCUUGUUUUUUUUUUUCGUUUUUAAGCUUCCCUUACAGGCUUAUACACCUAGAACGUCUUCUAGCAAAGUCUUGUAGCUUUAUGAACACUCUCUGUCAAAUUUAGCUAAAAUUUUGUUGAAAAUUUUGUCCGUAAGAGCGAAAUGCAGACGCAUUUUAGGCAUGUUCAAUUCGACAUGCAUUUCAAACAUUCUAGCUUCUACAAACUUGUCGUUUAUGACAUGUGUCUAUAUACAAAUUGUACUCUGAGAGGGAAGGCUAAGCCUAAGCUUUUGAGUUUUUUUGAGCUUGUCUAAGUUGAAUUUUAAUCCAAAUCUUUUGAAGAAGUUCAGAGAUGAAAUUUCCUCGUGGUUCAUGCCCUAAUUUUAUGCAUACAUUCUUUAAUAUUAAAAUAAAUUGAAUUGGACAACCACACCCUGUGUAAACGACAUUAAAUAACUCUUCGCCGUUUUGAAACUAAAAGUUAAUUAUCCAAUUUUUUUAGAUUGCCUCAAGCUCGAUCAUUCUGACGGCAAACAGUACAGAAAGACCUCUGCACAGAUUUGAGGAGACGCUCGCCCAGCAGUUGAAGCAAAACGAGAAGGCAAAGGUGAAAUGAUAUGCCUGAAAAAUACAACUUAAUUAACACCAUAGUCUGACAGUGAGGGAACGCUCGAAAGCAGAUACACCCAUCAUCAGAUUUCGCUCAGCCAGCCAAUGGUGACAUAGUGUCAAGACCUGUCAAGCCACGACGCCGUACCAUCCAGAAACCAAAACCAACGCGCCACACCAACCAGCCUAUGAGAUAGCCGUGAAAGAUGGUGUACAUUACAAAAGGUCGUUCGUCGUGUUCGAAAGUACGUGGGGACCACCCUGAGGACACCCAAAUGCACAAAACAAAUUUAAAUGUGGCACUUUUCACCUUAAUUUCGCAAUUUAUUCAAAUUUUUCACAUUUUUUGGUGUUUGUGAAAAGCUCUUAACGAAAUCGAAAUGUUUGAAAUUCGAAAGGUUCUAUCUGGGAGUUUGUUUAUUUGAAAGAUAUUUGAAAUGAAAUUUUGAAAUUUACAUCACUUUGGUAUUUGGUUUAAACGCUAGGUAAAAUCAUGCCAGAUGAGUGGCCGACCAUUCGUCGAGGUUCGGUGAUACUUUGGCUCGGACUUUCCCGACCUACAGUCGAGUUGCUCUGAUCGAUUGCCGUGAUCAACUAGCACAGGUGCAAGGUCUGGCCAACCUUACAUCAGUGCUUUUUGUUCGUGUCAUGAGAUUGGGGCAGCUCGCUUGUAGGCCUUGAAAGAUCAAGCGGAAGUACCACCAAACUUUGAUUUGUGACCGGUUUUUUGUCUGUAUGGCUUUAUCCAGCGUUUUCCCCGUUACUAUUUUGAUGUAGACUUUGGGAUUUUGGCUUGAAUAUCUUUAAUUUAAACAUUCUUUGAGCUUUAAUCUUUCAAGAAUUUCAUGGUUUUGACUAGUUAAUGUGUUGCUCGUAGAUACUAUAAUUGUAUUAAAAAUAUUGACGAAAAAAUUUAAAACUGACCAAAACGUCAUUUGAGGUGUCGGAUAGGAGGUCCAGUGGGAGUCGUAGCGUAUGUCAAUGGAUAAAUCUGGACUACUUUGACACUGUGUGCAAUUGGAGAUAUUGUGAACAUUUAUGGAUAAUUGGGAACAUUAAUGGAUUACAACAAACACUUAUGGAUUAUUAUGAACAUUUGUGGAUAAAAUGCACCUCGCGAUCGACGGUUACUUACCAAUGUACCUUGACAACGAAAGCUGCACGACGGCAACGAGAUGACUGCCUCAAGGUUAGAGGGUUUAGUCUGAUAACAAGCAGUCGUUAGCUUGUUAUCAGGCAGUAGUUAGCCUGCUAUCAGGCAGUAGUUAGCCUGCUGACAGGCAGUAUAUCUGUACGAUUCAUACCCAGGACUCUAAUUUGCAUGUGGUCGAUGAAGUCUCUGGGUUAACCGAUUUAAAAUUCCUGGCGGUCUGUCGCUAGUAGUACAUUUGCACGCAAGGUUGAUUUUUAUUCGGAUGCUUGCAUGCUAAAAAUUGAGGUACAAUUUUUUACCUCAGUUAAUAAGAAUUUCGACAUCAUCUGAAUCGAAAGUCAAUCUUAAAGAGGUUAACGUUUGAGCCUUCGGUCACGUGGUUCGUUGUAUGCACUCGGUUUGGUCAUUGGUGGGUUUCAGUAAGUGUUACAAUCCAAAUGAUGGUCAAUAUCGGAAAUAUUGACACUUCUGGAGCAAUUCAAUUGCUUCAAAUACAAGACUACUACAUAAAGUAAAAAAGAGUGGACAUUAUUUGAUUGAAAAGCUGGCAUAGUUUUUCUUGGGUAGGAUAACUAAACUGGGUGCAAAUGGUAUCCAUAGCUUAGAGGGUGCAAAUGGUACCCGUAAGAAGAUUGGUGGAUCGUUGUGGACAAGAAUUUUUGAAAGAUUUGGUUUCUCUCCGGGUACUCCGGGUUUCCACUAAAGAUCAGCUUAGGACUGUAAUGACAUAAUUAUUGUAAUGAUAAAUAGUCUAGGGCUUUGUGAAUAAUAAAUUGGCGGUAAAUUGUCGUGGAAAGGUGUAUCUUUCAUCGCCCGUAGUGCAUGUAUAUCGCUGGUUUCGAACGUUAGUUUUCUGCUCCGGGUUAUAUGAAAACAGUUCGCUACCAGAGAUUAGGUUUCCUCUCUGUCAUGACGGCUCAACGACUUCAUGGAAGACAAUUAACAUAAGGCAUGCUAAUCUUACCCCUGUUUGUGGAAGCUCGCCAGGUGCGAUGGCACACUAGGUUAAGUUAAGCUAGGGGCAUGACCGAGACUCCACAUUCGGGGGUUUCCCUUGCAGGUUUUUGAAGGGUAUGUGCGCGCGCACACUAGUUAGGAAGGUUAGGCAGCUAGAAAUAGGGCGCUUUUGCUCUUUUUGCAUGUAUACUAUAAGGCAUGUAUACUAUUAAUAAUUUGUUAUCGUCAUACUUUUGCGCCAGAAACUUUCUGUGAAGUAUUUAACACAACAGGAAAAUAGAAUCUGUUUUCCUGCUGAAAAAUACUUAUAGAAACCAAAUCAAAGUGGAAACUAAAGGAAAUAUUGCGAAAAAAAAAAGAAAAAAGAAAACCGCGAAGCCACUUUGAAUAUAAGCAACAAUAGUCCAAGAUUACUCGCUGCAGAAAAAACAAACAAAAAAGAAACCAUUUUCUGCCUAAAAUAUCUUGGAUUAGGGGCUUAACGAUAAGAAACGUAGUUCUCGCUCCAAAGUGGAGAAUGGGCUCGUUUCUUUAGGUUGCUAAUGCAUUGCGCGCGCGCUUUAUAAAUCCUACUACAGGUUUUAAGUUGUAAAGACCGCCAGGAAAAAUAGAGUGUUUUUAUGUGUUGCUUUGUUCACGGAC